rnacentral:rRNA from 2 species
AUGGUUAAGUUAGAAAGGGCGCACGGUGAAUGCCUUGGCACUAGGAGCCGAUGAAGGACGGGACUAACACCGAUAUGCUUCGGGGAGCUGUAAGUGAGCUUUGAUCCGGAGAUUUCCGAAUGGGGAAACCCACUGUUCGUAAUGGAACAGUAUCUUUAUCUGAAUACAUAGGAUAUUGAAGGCAGACCCGGGGAACUGAAACAUCUAAGUACCCGGAGGAAGAGAAAGCAAAUGCGAUUUCCUGAGUAGCGGCGAGCGAAACGGAAUUAGCCCAAACCAAGAGGCUUGCCUCUUGGGGUUGUAGGACACUCUAUACGGAGUUACAAAGGAACGAAGUAAAUGAAGCGACCUGGAAAGGUCCGUCGAAGAAGGUAACAACCCUGUAGUUGAAACUUCGUUCCCUCUUGAGUGGAUCCUGAGUACGGCGGAACACGUGAAAUUCCGUCGGAAGCUGGGAGGACCAUCUCCCAAGGCUAAAUACUACCUAGUGACCGAUAGUGAACCAGUACCGUGAGGGAAAGGUGAAAAGCACCCCGGAAGGGGAGUGAAAGAGAUCCUGAAACCGUGUGCCUACAAGUAGUCAGAGCCCGUUAAUGGGUGAUGGCGUGCCUUUUGUAGAAUGAACCGGCGAGUUACGAUCCCAUGCAAGGUUAAGCUGAUAAGGCGGAGCCGUAGCGAAAGCGAGUCUGAAUAGGGCGUUUAGUAUGUGGUUGUAGACCCGAAACCAGGUGAUCUACCCAUGUCCAGGGUGAAGUUCAGGUAACACUGAAUGGAGGCCCGAACCCACGCACGUUGAAAAGUGCGGGGAUGAGGUGUGGGUAGCGGAGAAAUUCCAAUCGAACCUGGAGAUAGCUGGUUCUCUCCGAAAUAGCUUUAGGGCUAGCCUCAUGUUGUGAGAGUCUUGGAGGUAGAGCACUGAUUGGACUAGGGGCCCCCAACGGGUUACCGAAUUCAGUCAAACUCCGAAUGCCAAAGACUUAUCCAUGGGAGUCAGACUGCGAGUGAUAAGAUCCGUAGUCAAAAGGGAAACAGCCCAGACCACCAGCUAAGGUCCCCAAGUAUACGUUAAGUGGAAAAGGAUGUGGAGUUGCUUAGACAACCAGGAUGUUGGCUUAGAAGCAGCCACCAUUUAAAGAGUGCGUAAUAGCUCACUGGUCGAGUGACUCUGCGCCGAAAAUGUACCGGGGCUAAACGUAUCACCGAAGCUGUGGAUUGACAUCUUAGAUGUCAGUGGUAGGAGAGCGUUCUAAGUGCUGUGAAGUCAGACCGUAAGGACUGGUGGAGCGCUUAGAAGUGAGAAUGCCGGUAUGAGUAGCGAAAGACAAGUGAGAAUCUUGUCCACCGAAUGCCUAAGGUUUCCUGAGGAAGGCUCGUCCGCUCAGGGUUAGUCGGGACCUAAGCCGAGGCUGAAAAGCGUAGGCGAUGGCCAACAGGUUGAUAUUCCUGUACCACCUCCCCGCCGUUUGAGUAAUGGGGGGACGCAGUAGGAUAGGGUAAGCGCGCUGCUGGAUAUGCGCGUUCAAGCAGUUAGGCUGAUGAGUAGGCAAAUCCGCUCAUCAUAAAGGCUGAGCUGUGAUGACGAGGGAAUUAUAGUACCGAAGUUCCUGAUUCCACACUGCCAAGAAAAGCCUCUAGCGAGGCGGGAGGUGCCCGUACCGCAAACCGACACAGGUAGGCGAGGAGAGAAUCCUAAGGUGAUCGAGAGAACUCUCGUUAAGGAACUCGGCAAAAUGACCCCGUAACUUCGGGAGAAGGGGUGCUCUGGUAGGGUGUAUAGCCCGAGAGAGCCGCAGUGAAUAGGCCCAGGCGACUGUUUAGCAAAAACACAGGUCUCUGCGAAGCCGCAAGGCGAAGUAUAGGGGCUGACGCCUGCCCGGUGCUGGAAGGUUAAGAGGAGGGGUUAUCCUUUGGGAGAAGCUCUGAAUCGAAGCCCCAGUAAACGGCGGCCGUAACUAUAACGGUCCUAAGGUAGCGAAAUUCCUUGUCGGGUAAGUUCCGACCCGCACGAAAGGCGUAACGAUCUGGGCACUGUCUCAACGAGAGACUCGGUGAAAUUAUAGUACCUGUGAAGAUGCAGGUUACCCGCGACAGGACGGAAAGACCCCGUGGAGCUUUACUGUAGCCUGAUAUUGAAUUUUGGUACAGCUUGUACAGGAUAGGUAGGAGCCUGAGAAGCCGGAGCGCUAGCUUCGGUGGAGGCGUCGGUGGGAUACUACCCUGGCUGUAUUGAAAUUCUAACCCGCGGCCCUGAUCGGGCCGGGAGACAGUGUCAGGUGGGCAGUUUGACUGGGGCGGUCGCCUCCUAAAAUGUAACGGAGGCGCCCAAAGGUUCCCUCAGAAUGGUUGGAAAUCAUUCGUAGAGUGUAAAGGCACAAGGGAGCUUGACUGCGAGACCUACAAGUCGAGCAGGGACGAAAGUCGGGCUUAGUGAUCCGGUGGUUCCGCAUGGAAGGGCCAUCGCUCAACGGAUAAAAGCUACCCCGGGGAUAACAGGCUUAUCUCCCCCAAGAGUCCACAUCGACGGGGAGGUUUGGCACCUCGAUGUCGGCUCAUCGCAUCCUGGGGCUGUAGUCGGUCCCAAGGGUUGGGCUGUUCGCCCAUUAAAGCGGUACGCGAGCUGGGUUCAGAACGUCGUGAGACAGUUCGGUCCCUAUCCGUCGUGGGCGUAGGAAAUUUGAGAGGAGCUGUCCUUAGUACGAGAGGACCGGGAUGGACACACCGCUGGUGUACCAGUUGUCUUGCCAAAGGCAUCGCUGGGUAGCUAUGUGUGGACGGGAUAAGUGCUGAAAGCAUCUAAGCAUGAAGCCCCCCUCAAGAUGAGAUUUCCCAUAGCGCAAGCUAGUAAGAUCCCUGAAAGAUGAUCAGGUUGAUAGGUCAGAGGUGGAAGCGUGGCGACAUGUGUAGCUGACUGAUACUAAUCGAUCGAGGACUUAACCAAAC